rnacentral:rRNA from 1 species
GACGAACGCUGGCGGCGUGCCUAAUACAUGCAAGUAGAACGCUGAAGCGAGGAGCUUGCUCUUCUUGGAUGAGUUGCGAACGGGUGAGUAACGCGUAGGUAACCUGCCUUGUAGCGGGGGAUAACUAUUGGAAACGAUAGCUAAUACCGCAUAACAAUGGAUGACACAUGUCAUUUAUUUGAAAGGGGCAAUUGCUCCACUACAAGAUGGACCUGCGUUGUAUUAGCUAGUAGGUGAGGUAAUGGCUCACCUAGGCGACGAUACAUAGCCGACCUGAGAGGGUGAUCGGCCACCCUGGGACUGAGACACGGCCCAGACUCCUACGGGAGGCAGCAGUAGGGAAUCUUCGGCAAUGGGGGCAACCCUGACCGAGCAACGCCGCGUGAGUGAAGAAGGUUUUCGGAUCGUAAAGCUCUGUUGUAAGUCAAGAACGGGUGUGAGAGUGGAAAGUUCACACUGUGACGGUAGCUUACCAGAAAGGGACGGCUAACUACGUG